AGUUUAUUAAACAGUUCACCAACAAAAGAUUUGGAAAAUUCAGACUAGGAAGUCUACACUGGAAAAAGUUAACUGAAUAAACUGUAAUUUGUAUGAAAGUAUCUAAGCUGGAAUAAUAGUUGAGUUUAGACUUGUGCAUAGUGUUUUAAAGGAAUUGCAAACUUUGGCAAUUGGCGAGUCGUCCAAAUUCCGUAUAUCUGAAUUGCCAUAUGACCGAUUCACAAAACAAAAAAAUAAGGAAUUAACAAACCAUUUCUUUUGUUUUGUCAUCUGGGGUUCCAUCUAUGUAGACCAAAAAAAAUGAUUGAUAGGAAAAAAAAGAUAACUGAUGGUUAAGGGACAGAUCAAGUGAGAAUUGAACAAAAGAGGGGAACAUGGUCUGUGUAUAUUGUACUGUCUUAUUCACUAUUAUACAGCACUGCGGAAUAAGUUGGAGCACUAUAAAUGCCAGUAAUACUAAUAAUAUUUAGC